rnacentral:rRNA from 1 species
ACUCCAUCUAAGGCUAAAUACAACCACGAGACCGAUAGCGAACAAGUACCGGGGAAAGUUGAAAAGAACUUUGAAGAGAGAGUUCAAGAGUACGUGAAACCGCUCAGGGGUAAACGGAAAAGACCUGAAUAUCCGAAAGGGGAGAUUCACGUCUUACCAUUUGCUCAACUUUUAAAUGAUUUGAGAUGGCCUCUCGCCCUAUUCAGUGUAAAAGCUGUGAUAGUGGGUUUGGUCGCUCUCAUUAUAGCAAGGGUAAUGGUGGACCGCACUUCUCCCUUAGUAGGACGUUGUGACCUGUCAAUAAAUAUUCUAAGUAUUUGGCUAUUAUGUCUGUUCGUUAUACCGCCAAGGUAUUUUCUUAACAGUUUUAGCCGUUUUAUAUACUGGAUAAAAUUGACAGUAACGAAUUAUGGUGUUGAGCCACAUGAAAUUAUAUGUACGAAAUAUAUAUGGAAAGUGUCCAAUAUGGCUGUUUGCAAGUGGGUUGGUAAAAAAUUUUUCGGAUUUUUAACCGGU